UAAAAGUAUAGUUUGCCAAUGAUGUAUUGAAUUAGAAUGUAUUAUAUCAGAUUAAUAAGCUGAUGAUAUCUCUAAAUUGUCACUACCUCUGAGGCAUUCUAGUAUAUCCAAUUAAAUGAAAUUACUUUGAUUUUGAAAAUGGAAUUGAUUUUAAAGUAUGGUUUAGAAUGCCUAAUGAUUGCAAGCAAGAACGGAGAUAUGAAUGAAGUCUCUUGUAGAAGCUAAAUUUAAUUGAUAUUGGCUCCAAGAGAUUUACAUGUAAUUAAAAAUCUUUUGCAUUAAGCAAUGAAGGCUUUUCAUUGUUAAUUUCAAAAUAUGUUUGUUUGAUUUUAAAUGUUAAGGCAACAAAUUAGAGUCUCUGAUUCGCUUUGAUAAUAGCGUCUUUAGCGCUGUACGUUGCCAAAAGUAUUUGGAGUUGGAUAUUCUGGCAUUUCCAUUAUUUACAAUGGUUAGUGCAUUCAAAUGUUCCUACAUUUCAUUUAUGUUGUAAUGUGUUAAAUUUAUGUCUUGUGGAGAUGGAAAUGAUGAUUAUUUCCCCAGAUGACCGAAGCUGAAAUCACUGAGCGUUUUAAUUUCUCUUUUAUGAGAAGUCAAGCCAGAUUUCUGAUCCGUCUCCUUAACAUAUUUUAGCUUUAGUUUUGUUUGAUGUUGUUUGUCAUCGAGAAUUCAUUCGAACAUCGGCAUGGGAGUUUAGGACAUGGGACAUUACCUGUUUAAUCAUGAACUCAAGCACGAAUUAGGACAUGGCGACAUUUUCUUAUUGAUCAUGCACAUUGAUAUCUAUGAAUUUGUAAGAAAUUCUGCCGUUUAUUUCUGGGUUGGAUAAAUGAUGUGAUAAUUAACUGCGUUAUCUUUCUGCAAUUUCCUUUUAUAUAAAGGGAUUGAAGAAAAUUAAGUUGCACUGAUAUCCAGUUAAUUGUGUAAUUUUGUGUAUUUUUGGGCAUCAAUGAAGAGUAAAUCCUAUGUUAUCCUUGCACAUUGAUUUACAAGUGAUGAAAAUUAGGGGGAAUUUUGAUCUGAGAUGCUCAUCUUCGAGUGUUUUAGUUUAUAUAUACUUGUACAAUGGGUACUAAUCUUUUAUUUCUUAUGUUAAAUGUGAUGGAGAUUUGUCCGAAAAUCUCAUUUUCAUAAUAAAAAUUGGGGCAAAUUUGUAAAUCCCAAAUUGGAACGUCACAAAGUAAGUUAGUGAUGUUGAGAAUCCUUUUGGGUUUUCCGUUGUUAACGGUUUCAUAUUCCAUGACCUUGAGUAGCGGCGUUGCUGCAAUUAUCUGUUGGGUCAGGCCAUGAGAGUCAACAUUUCCUUGUAUAUGUUAUUACCUCCGGUCCAAAUUACCUGUAACUUUAUUUUCUUUUCUAUUUUAUGUCAAUUAGUUACAAAUAACUAACGGAGGUAGUAUGAUUACGUUUAUAUUGAUUUGUCUUAUGAUGGGAAUCUCUUUGAUGCAUUUUAAAGUAAUUUUAAUCCAGCAACAAAUUAGAGUCUCUGGUUCGCUUAGUUAAUAGCGGCUUUAGCGCUGUAUGUUGCUGAUACUAGUUUGUAAUACUACCUCUGUUCUUAUUAUGUGCGACAAAGUAAUAUUUUAUGUCUCACAAAUAAUACCCCUUUGUUGCACAUAAUAAGAAACGGAGGUAGGAAGAUAUUCUGGCAUUUCCAUUAUUUUCAAUGGUUGACGCAUUCAAAUGUUUUUACAUUUCCUAAUCAAUUAAGCUAAGAUUUUGUGUAGUUUUAUCAGGGUUAGUUAUGUUUUUGCUUUAGUGAUCUGUGUUAAGAAGAUGGAAGUGAUGAUUAUUUCCCCAGAUGAUCGAAGUUGAAAUCACUGAGCGUUUUUAAUUCUCGUUUACGAGAAUUCAAGCCAGAAUUCUGAUCCAUCUCUGUUAUUCCUAAUUUUAAUCGUGUUUUUAGCUAACUUAGUUUAAGAAUAAGAACAUCAGCAUUAAGACAUUGGACACUUGUGUUUGGAGGAUGAACACCAGAUUUGAGUACAAUUGAACUGAAUUGAACUGAAAUAUUGGGGUAGUCUAGGAUUAGAUAUCAAAGAUUGUAGGAUAUUUUAGUUCAGUUUAGUUUAUUUUAGGAGAAUAACUUUGUUGAUGUUACAAAAACAGACUGGAUUGGAGCAUUUUUCUCUUAUUUGUUGUAAAACAGUAUUUUUCAAGUCUGUUACUAGUAAUUUAUUUGUUUUCAAUAUAUGUGGUCAAUGGGCAAUUUAGAAAAUAUUUGUAAAUCCCAAAUUGAAAACGUCACAAAGUAAGUCAUGAUGUCCAGAGUCCUUGUUGAUUCUCCGUUAGACAGUUGUUUUUUUUUUUCUAUUUUCUAAAAUUGUUAAGUUUAUAUGGACUUUUUUAAUUCGAUUAAUUAUCCAACGAUGAAAUUAAUUAAAAGUACACCAUCUUUCGGGACUGAUUGGCCUAUAGGCCUUGUUGACACAAUUCUGCAAUUCUGAGGUAAUUAUUCAAAUUAUAAAUUAUAGUUUGUACUCUUAUAUUAUAGAUUUUGAUUUUAGUAUAUUGUUAACAAAUUAAUUGUUGCAAAUGGGACAUCAGAAACUCUUAGGAGUACAUCUAUGUUUAUUUGUCUUAAAUGGGAAUCUCUUUGAUGCACAAUUUAUUCAAUCUAUGGCAACAAAUUAGAGUCUCUGGUUCGCUUUGUUAAUAGCGUCUUUAGCGCUGUAUGUUGCCAAAACUAGUUCGGAAUUAGAUAUUCUGGCAUCUCCAUUUUUGUUGAUGGUUGAUGCAUUCAGAUGUUCCUACAUAUCAUCAAAUAUUAAUGUUUUUAUCUAUAUUAGUUUGUUGAUUAUUUCCCCAGAUGAUCGAAGUUGAAGUCACUGAGCGUUUUUAAUUCUCAUUAUUGAGAAUUCAAGCCAGAAUUCUGAUCCAUCUCUUUUUUCAUUUCUAAUUGUAGAUUUGUUAGAUUUUGUUUGUUUUCGUAUGUUUUUCUAUGCAAUGUCAUAAGUUCGUACUUCAAAGACACGACUCAGGGAUACGAACAUUAUCUAUUGAGGUUGGGUAUCAUGGACUUGAGAUGGACAUUGCAGGAUGUUUGAAAUACUAUGAAGUACUUAAGAUGGGCGAGUGUUCCUACAUUUCGGACCUCAGUGACUUAAUUUCACUCAGAAAUGAAGUGUGAAGUAUCUUCAGUUGGGCUAGUGUUCUGAUACCUCGGGACUCGGACUUUGGUGUCUAGUUUUGGUUAAAGAUUCAAUUGCUACUGAUGAUCAUUUUCUGUGAGCAAUGGUACAUGUAUAAUCUGAGAUCUUGCUUUGAACAGCACUAGUGUAUUUCUUCUCCCCAUUAGGAGUUUGUACUUGAUUACUUAAUAAUUAUGGUAAUUCAAUUCAUUAGUUGUUGUUGGUUUACUUUGACUCAGAAACUUUAAAGUGAAUAUUUUAUGCUGAGUAGUCUUUAAUGGAAUAUCUUUGGUGUUUUGUUUGUUUA